rnacentral:rRNA from 1 species
AGUGAACGCUGGCGGUAGGCCUAACACAUGCAAGUCGAACGGCAGCACAGUAAGAGCUUGCUCUUACGGGUGGCGAGUGGCGGACGGGUGAGGAAUACAUCGGAAUCUACUUUUUCGUGGGGGAUAACGUAGGGAAACUUACGCUAAUACCGCAUACGACCUACGGGUGAAAGCAGGGGAUCUUCGGACCUUGCGCGAUUGAAUGAGCCGAUGUCGGAUUAGCUAGUUGGCGGGGUAAAGGCCCACCAAGGCGACGAUCCGUAGCUGGUCUGAGAGGAUGACCAGCCACACUGGAACUGAGACACGGCCCAGACUCCUACGGGAGGCAGCAGUGGGGAAUUUUGGACAAUGGGCGCAAGCCUGAUCCAGCCAUACCGCGUGGGUGAAGAAGGCCUUCGGGUUGUAAAGCCCUUUUGUUGGGAAAGAAAAGCAGCAGGUUAAUACCCCGCUGUUAUGACGGUACCCAAAGAAUAAGCACCGGCUAACUUCGUG